CAAAAGGCUCCAGCAAUUCAAUUGACAGAGUAUAGCAGGAGCCCUCUGACAUAUUAGCACAAAUUAGUAGACCAGAUUAACCAGUGGUCACCUCAGGUCCAAGAGGGUAAGAAACACAAGGAGAAUAUGGCCAGGACAAGAUGUGAGGCUGGGAACCAGAGAGAGAGAGAGACAACCUCAAGUUGAUAAGCAAGGAAGUGGGAAGAAAUACUCAGCUUAGCAGGAUGGACACCAAAGAGAAGACAGAAGCAGACUUCUGAAGGAAGAGAAGGUGGAAACUGUUGGACUACUGGUUCUGCUGGAAUAUGACCUGGGGACACAGAAAUAGUAAUAAAAAGCACACAGAUAGUACUAAGUGAAUGGAAAAGGGACUCUGGUGAAGAUAAGGCCCAACAGAAAAAACAAAAACAAAAAAAAAGCCUUCUGGAUAAAGUCAGAAGAGGACAACAGUUUUGACAAUUCUAUGUCAAAUUCAUUAUAUUCCUGAAAGGCUGAUAUGUCUGAUACUGACCACCUUAAGAAACCAAAGUAUCACAGAACUCUGAAAUCUUGGGUCAUUUUCCUGGAAGAGAAUUCAGACCCUCCCUUCUAUCUUUGCAUCCCACCAGAAGACCAUAAAAGAAAUAGAAGUAUGGCAGAAAUAUGAAACAUGAUUUUCAGCUGAGAGAGUAGGGGUAAGAGAAGCCAGAGAAGGUUUGAGGAAGAAUCAAAAGGUUUAGAAAAGUCACUGUAGUGGGUAGAAAACUGAAUCAAUUAGAUAUGGGUAAAAGCUAUUCCUAGCCAUAGUAAAGACCAAAUUAAAAUUCUGUGACUUA